rnacentral:rRNA from 1 species
GGCUUAGAGUUUGAUCAUGGCUCAGGACGAACGCUGGCGGCGCGCUUAACACAUGCAAGUCGAACGGAGUUUUUUAGAAUGAAGUUUUCGGAUGGAAUUUUUUAAAACUUAGUGGCGGACGGGUGAGUAACACGUGAGCAACCUGCCUUUCAGAGGGGGAUAACGGCUGGAAACGGUCGCUAAUACCGCAUAAAAUCAUAGGAGGACAUCCUCUAAUGAUCAAAGGAGCAAUCCGCUGAAAGAUGGGCUCGCGUCUGAUUAGAUAGUUGGCGGGGUAACGGCCCACCAAGUCGACGAUCAGUAGCCGGACUGAGAGGUUGAACGGCCACAUUGGGACUGAGACACGGCCCAGACUCCUACGGGAGGCAGCAGUGGGGGAUAUUGCACAAUGGGCGCAAGCCUGAUGCAGCGACGCCGCGUGGAGGAAGAAGGUUUUCGGAUUGUAAACUCCUGUCUUCAGGGACGAUAAUGACGGUACCUGAGGAGGAAGCCACGGCUAACUACGUGCCAGCAGCCGCGGUAAUACGUAGGUGGCAAGCGUUGUCCGGAAUUACUGGGUGUAAAGGGAGCGUAGGCGGGAUUGCAAGUUAAAUGUGAAAUCUAUCGGCUCAACCGGUAGCUGCGUUUAAAACUGUAGUUCUUGAGUGAAGUAGAGGCAGGCG